UACAGAGGUGGCAAGCGUUGUUCGGAAUUACUGGGCGUAAAGGGCGCGUAGGCGGCCUUCUAAGUCAGACGUGAAAUCCCCAGGCUUAACUUGGGAACUGCGUCUGAUACUGGAAGGCUCGAGUGCGGGAGAGGGAUGCGGAAUUCCAGGUGUAGCGGUGAAAUGCGUAGAUAUCUGGAGGAACACCGGUGGCGAAGGCGGCAUCCUGGACCGACACUGACGCUGAGGAGCGAAAGCCAGGGGAGCAAACGGG
rnacentral:rRNA from 1 species